rnacentral:Y_RNA from 1 species
GGUUGGUCCGCGUGUAGUGGUGUUUGCAACUAACUGAUCACAACCAGUUACAGAUUCCUUUGUUCCUUCUCCACUCCCACUGCUUCACCUGACCAUCCUUAA